UUUAUCGUGGAAAUCUGUUUCUCCCCACCCUUACCAACUCCUUCGAUGGAUGUUGCACAUUGGAAUACUCAAUAGCGGAUUCUUCCAAUGCAUGAUUUCUGGGUUCAAUAGAACUCAUAAUUAUAGAGAGUUUUUUUCGUUCUAUCACUAUAUUACACCUUUGACCUGAAAUAUUGUAGUUAAUGGAAUAAGCUUGAGUUAUUUGGGCCCCGGAAAAAGCUGAGGAAACUGACUUUUUUAAAAUGCUGAAUCUGUUAAAAGGGUUUCAUGAAAGAUUUUGAAUCCUCAUGUUUAGGAUUCAAGAAAUGCUGGUGUUUUUUUUUUUUUUUUCCUCAUUAUGUUGUCGAGAUCUUAUUUCAAUCUGUUGAACCUCGAUGACUAUUCGAGUGGAGGUGAUCGGGCCCGGGUUCCGAGAGUGAUUUCCGUUCCGGGAAUCAUAUCUGAUUUUGAUGAUCGUGAUGAAGGGGUAGAAUCUGAUGCCCCUGUUCAUCAAGAAAGAAGAGUCAUUGUAGCCAAUCAGCUACCUCUAAAGGCAUAUAAAGAUUCAGAAACCAAUAAAUGGUGCUUUGAUUGGGAUGAAGAUGCCUUAAUUUUACAAAUGAAAGAUGGGUUUUCACCAGAUGUGGAAUUUGUGUAUGUGGGGUGCUUGAGGGUGGAGAUUGAUCCAUUAGAACAAGAAGAAGUGGGUCAACUUUUGUAUGAAAAAUUCAAAUGUGUGCCUACCUUUCUGUCAUUGAAUUUGAUGAACAAAUUUUAUCAUGGCUUUUGUAAGCAUUAUCUGUGGCCUUUAUUUCAUUACAUGUUGCCUUUUACACCUGAUCAUGGAGUCAGAUUUGAUAAGGACAUGUGGCAGGCUUAUGUUUCGGCAAACAAGGUUUUUGCUGACAAGGUUAUGGAGGUUAUCAACCCAGAUGAAGAUUAUGUUUGGGUACAUGAUUAUCAUCUCAUGGUGCUACCUACUUUCCUGAGGAAAAGGUACAAUAGAGUAAAGCUUGGAUUUUUCCUUCAUAGUCUUUUUCCUUCAUCUGAAAUUUAUAGAACUUUGCCUGUUAGGGAGGAAAUUUUGAGGGCCCUUUUAAACUGUGAUCUUAUUGGAUUCCAAACAUUUGAUUAUGCUAGGCAUUUCUUUGAUUAUCAUCUCAUGGUGCUACCUACUUUCCUGAGGAAAAGGUACAAUAGAGUAAAGCUUGGAUUUUUCCUUCAUAGUCUUUUUCCUUCAUCUGAAAUUUAUAGAACUUUGCCUGUUAGGGAGGAAAUUUUGAGGGCCCUUUUAAACUGUGAUCUUAUUGGAUUCCAAACAUUUGAUUAUGCUAGGCAUUUCUUAUCAUGUUGUAGUAGAAUGCUUGGAUUGGAUUACCAAUCCAAGAGGGGGUAUAUUGGUCUAGAUUACUAUGGUAGAACUGUUAGUAUUAAAAUUCUACCUGUUGGAAUUCAUAUGGGUCAGAUUGAAUCAAUUAUGUCGUUACCGGACACUCCUAAGAAAGUUAAGGAAUUGAAGGAGAAGUAUGAUGGGAAAAUUGUGUUGUUGGGUGUAGAUGAUGUGGACAUGUUUAAGGGUAUUGGUUUGAAGUUUGAAGCCUUUGGGCAGCUUUUGGACGAGAAUCCGAGAUAUAGGGGAAGUGUUGUUUUGGUUCAAAUUAUGAACUCCCCAAGGAGUCAGGGAAAUGAUAUCCAAGAGGUUCAAAACGAGAUUAAUAAUGUUGCGACAGAAGUUAAUCGACGAUAUGGUAGUGCAGACUAUGAACCAAUUGUUUGUAUCAAUGGCCCUGUUUCUUUUCAAGAUAAGGUUGCGUAUUAUGUGAUUUCUGAGUGUGUCGUGGUAAAUGCUGUGAGGGAUGGAUUGAAUUUGGUGCCUUAUAAGUACACUGUAUCUAGGCAGGGUAGCCCUUAUUUGGAUGAGGUGUUGGGACUUGAGGGAUCAGCCGCUCCAAGGAAAAGUGUCAUUAUUGUCUCGGAAUUUAUAGGAUGUUCUCCAUCUCUAAGUGGUGCAAUUCGAGUGAAUCCAUGGAACAUCAGUUGUGUGGCCGAGGCCAUGCAUUCAGCAAUUUCAAUGCAGGACUUGGAGAAAGAACUGCGCCACGAGAAACAUUACAAGUAUGUUACAUCGCAUGAUGUUGCCUAUUGGGCCAGGAGUUUUGAUCAGGACCUCGAAAGAGCUUGUGCUCAGUAUUACGAAAACAGGUGUUGGGGCAUUGGCUUUGGUUUGAAUAUCCGAGUUGUCGCCUUGGGGCCUCAUUUCAGGAAGCUUUCUGUGGAACACAUUGUUUCUGCAUAUAAGAAUACUAGUAGUAGGCUUAUCCUUCUCGACUAUGAUGGUACCAUGAUGCCACAAGAUCUAAUUGACAAAUCUCCAUGCCGUGCAGUUAUUUCCGUCUUGAAUGGUUUAUGCAAUGAUCCAAUGAAUGUUGUGUUUAUUGUUAGUGGCAGAGGGAAGGAUUCAUUAGAAAAGUGGUUCUCUCCAUGUGAGAGACUCGGGUUAUCUGCAGAACAUGGCUACUUCACCUGGUAAUAUUUCACUCUAUGUACGACUAUGAAUGUUGUGUGUGUUUUUUCCUUGUUUAAUUUACCAUUUUCUUCUGCUAGGUGGCCUACGAAUUCUGCAUGGGAAUCUUGCGGUUUAGUCGUCGACUUGAGCUGGAAAAACAUAGUUUUGCCUAUAAUGGAGCAUUAUACGGAGGCUACUGACGGUUCAUCGAUUGAACAAAAGGAGAGUGCUUUAGUGUGGCAUCAUCAAGAAGCCGACCCCGACUUUGGCACAUGGCAGGCAAAAGAGCUUCUUGAUCACUUGGAAAGCGUGCUUGCUAAUGAACCCGUGGUUGUUAAAAGAGGCCAGCACAUUGUUGAGGUGAAACCACAGGUAGUGAUCAUAAAACAAACUCAAAAUUUAUCGUGGAAAUCUGUUUCUCCCCACCCUUACCAACUCCUUCGAUGGAUGUUGCACAUUGGAAUACUCAAUAGCGGAUUCUUCCAAUGCAUGAUUUCUGGGUUCAAUAGAACUCAUAAUUAUAGAGAGUUUUUUUCUUUCUAUCACUAUAUUACACCUUUGACCUGAAAUAUUGUAGUUAAAACUUGAGUUAUUUGGGCCCCGGAAAAAGCUGAGGAAACUGACUUUUUUAAAAUGCUGAAUCUGUUAAAAGGGUUUCAUGAAAGAUUUUGAAUCCUCAUGUUUAGGAUUCAAGAAAUGUCUCUAAUUCUCGAUUAGAUUAUGUAAUGUUGAAAUAUGUGGAAUAGAAUAGUACGACCGAUACAGUUCUUAAAUCUGUUUCAUCUUUGAUAUGAUGUAUGUUCUUGAUGUGCUUAAGGG
rnacentral:lncRNA from 1 species